AUUGAACGCUGGCGGCAGGCCUAACAAAUGCAAGUCGAGCGGAGCGGCGGACGGGUGAGUAAUGCCUGGGAAUCUGCCUGGUAGUGGGGGAUAACGUACGGAAACGGGCGCUGAUGCCGCAUAAUAUCAGAUGAGUCUAGGGCGGAUUAUCUAGUUGGUGGGGUAAAGGCCUACAAAGGCGACGAUCCGUAACUGGUCUGAGAGGAUGAUCAGUCACACUGGGACUGAGACACGGCCCAGACUCCUACGGGAGGCAUCAGUGGGGAAUAUUGCACAAUGGGCGCAAGCCUGAUUCAGCCAUGCCGCGUGUAUGAAGAAGGCCUUAGGGUUGUAAAGUACUUUCAGCGGGGAGGCGUUACCCGCAGAAGAAGCACCGGCUAACUCCGUGCCAGCAGCCGCGGUAAUUC
rnacentral:rRNA from 1 species